UAUUUUGAAUUUAGGGCUUUUGAAGCUAGAUUGAGUAGAUUAGAGGCUUCCAUUUGGUUGGUUUGGAAGGGCUCUAGCUCUCUUUUGGAGCUUUAGAGGAGAUUUUUGCACUAGAGGUGAGUUUUCCUCACCUAUGCUUGAUUAGCUUAAUGAUUGAGCUAGGUAUUGUUCGUUUGGCUCGUAUGACACAUGUUUUUAUACCUCUAGGGUACUAGGAGACUAGAGGACACCCUCGUGGGAGCACACGAGGAGUUUCGUUGUCAUCGGUGGGUUUGGCUUCGUGAAAAUGGGGCGAAAUGGCCCCUAUGCUCUUUCUACUUGUCGUAAAAUAUUUUUAAUUUCAUUUCUAUACUAAAUGGAAUUUAUAUGAAUUUUAGAGCACUUAAAAUGCAUGCCUUGUGUAUUAUGAAAAAUUUCACUAUAUAGUAGAGCUAUAUGAGUAGAACGCAUGCAUACGGGAAAAGUGUUUAUUUUGCAAGUGGAAAAUACAUCUCUUAUGAGGAUUAUGACUUGGAACAUGUACUUUGGAACAUAGUUGCCAUGCUUUGACAUAGAGAACAAGAGUGUCAUCAAGGGGCACUUGAAACUAGUAAACUAUUAAACUGCAACAUAGAGACAAAUUGAUAGGCCACUACGCAU
rnacentral:lncRNA from 1 species